rnacentral:rRNA from 1 species
CCUACGGGCGGCAGCAGUGGGGAAUAUUGGUCAAUGGACGGGAGUCUGAACCAGCCAAGCCGCGUGCAGGAAGACGGCUCUAUGAGUUGUAAACUGCUUUUGUACGAGGGCAAAGCCAGAUACGCGUGUCUGCCUGAACGUAACCUGCGGAUAAGGAUUGGCCAACCCCAUGGCCGCAGGCGUGGGUAAACGGAGGAUUGAGGGGUUAUCCGGGUUUUGUGGGUUUAAAGGGGGCGUAGGCGGGCGGUUAAGUUCAGGGUUAAAUUCCGAGGCUCAACUUCGGGAUGGCCGUUGAUACUGUUCGGCUAGAGAGUAGUUGCGGUAGGCGGAAUGCAUGGUGUAGCGGUGAAAUGCUUAGAGAUCAUACAGAACUCCGAUUGCGAAGGCAGCAUACCAAGCUACGUCUGACGUUGAGGCACGAAAGCGUGGGGAUCAAACAGGAUUAGAUACCCUAGUAGUC